GACGAACGCUGGCGGCGUGCCUAAUACAUGCAAGUCGAGCGGACGGAUGGGAGCUUGCUCCCAGACCGUCAGCGGCGGACGGGUGAGUAACACGUGGGCAACCUGCCUGUAAGACUGGGAUAACUCCGGGAAACCGGGGCUAAUACCGGAUAACUCUUUCCCUCACAUGAGGGAAAGCUGAAAGAUGGCAUCUCGCUAUCACUUACAGAUGGGCCCGCGGCGCAUUAGCUAGUUGGUGAGGUAACGGCUCACCAAGGCGACGAUGCGUAGCCGACCUGAGAGGGGGAUCGGCCAAACUGGGACUGAGACACGGCCCAGACUCCUACGGGAGGCAGCAGUAGGGAAUCUUCCGCAAUGGACGAAAGUCUGACGGAGCAACGCCGCGUGAGUGAUGAAGGUUUUCGGAUCGUAAAACUCUGUUGUCAGGGAAGAACAAGUACCGGAGUAACUGCCGGUACCUUGACGGUACCUGACCAGAAAGCCACGGCUAACUACGUG
rnacentral:rRNA from 1 species